GGACAGUCUUACCCGGACGCCACGGUGAGGGAGGAGAAGCGCAGAGUCAGCCGCAGACGGGAGGGCGAUGGCCUAACCCGGACGCCAGCGCGGUUUGCUCAGCCCUAGGGCCGGGCGCUUUCCCGCUCCCUGACCGCCUCCUGUUCCUCCGCAGGCCGAGCUGCCCUUCCCUCCCUGCUGCCCCCAGGGAAGGCUGCUGGUGUCCUCAGAUGCGGGCAGGAGGAACCCGCCAGCGCCUGAGAGCCUGGCCCGAACCAGGCCUGGAGGUGCUGGGGCGAAGACACAGAGGAUGUGGCCUCCAUCCCUGGUAACAGACGGUUACCAGGGCGGCUUUGGGUGAGGACAUUGAAAAAGGUCAGACUCCCUGGGAGCAGCGCCCUGGACUCCAUUCUCAUCACAGACCAGUGGUUCCCAAUUGAAGUCAGUUUUGCUCCUCAGGGCACACUUAACAACAUCUGGAGACAUUUUUAAUUGUCCUGACCGAGAGGACAAUGCUACUGGCAUCUAGUGGACAGAGGCCAGGGAUACUGCUGAACAUCCCGCAGUGCACAGGACGCCUGCAACACAGAUUAUCCAGCCCCAAACGUCAAUAGUGCCGGAGUUAUGGAACCCUAAUGAAGACAAUUCUUGAAGGCAUAGACUGAAUCUUAUUUAUCUUUGUUUCCCUCAUGUCUCACAAGCAGAGUAUGAGUUCAGCAAAUAGGAGUUGAACAGAAAUCAGGAGGAGGUGCUGAUUGACAGGAAAAAAGAAAGAUUUAGUUUAGAGCUGAGAAUUCAGCUGGACAGCCAUAGGGGCUCUGGCAUGGAGACUGGAAGUCAGAAGAGAAUUUGCAGCAAGACAUUUAGAGCCAUUUAUCCAGCCAUCAUAAUUUUAUUGAGUAACUAUUUUGUGUGAGGCACUGUACUGGAUGCUUUGGCAACAGAGAUAAGCAAGGCAACCCCUGUGAAUAAGGCACUCCUGGUCUACACACAGUGGGAGAAACAUAGAAAUUCAUCUCUUCUGAGCGGAGCCUGUGGGAACCCAGAGGAUGGACACCCAGCGUGGUCUGAGGAAUCAUGGGCCAAAACAGGAGGCAUCAGGAGAGAUCUCUUGGGUAAAGAAGAGUGAGGGCUGGAAGGAUAUUCCAGGCAGUGGGAACAACUUACAUAAAGUGAGAAUAUUGCAAAUGCCUAGCGGGUCUGUAGUGAGAGGGUCAUGAGGCGGAGGAGUGAGGUGCGUAGCAAGGAAUAGCAGGUGGGGCCAGAGCAGUAAAAUUAACCAUUGUUCUAUUUGAAGAAGGGUAGGACGCAUUUUUAGGUUUUUUGGCUAUUUCUCCUUUUGGUAAUAGCAUCUAUUUUCUUUAGAGAAUUAUCUCUUCCCCCUCACUCCUCUCCUAGUGGAGGUACAGGCAUGAGAAAAAGCUAAACCAAUGACAUGUUCUCAAAUAUAACUUACAAUCCCAGGAGUCAUGAUGAAAUGGUUGAAAAAAAAAAUAGUUGAAGCUCACUAACCUUAGCAUCACAUUUCAAUGAGAUUGUCAAAUAAUUCUUGUUUCCCAGGCCCCCAGAGCUGCCGAGUUUCUGACUUCUCUAAGCCAGGUUCACAAGCCUUCCCUUCAAUUCUGUGAGGAUUUUUUUCCCCAUUUUUCCUGAAGUUACGUGGUCACUUUCUGUUACUUGCAACCAGAGUAACUUAAUUGAUAAAGUCAGUGAGGAAGGAAUAGAAUACAACAAAUGGCUUAAAAACAGAAGGCCAAGCGUGAUGGCUCAUUCCUGUAAUCCCAGCACUUUGUGAGGCCGAGGCAGGUGGAUUGCUUGAGCUCAGGAGUUCAAGACCAACCUGGGCAACAUGGCAAAACCCCAUCUCUACCAAAAAUACAAAAAAUUAGCCGGGCGUGGUGGCUCACACCUGUAGUCCCAAUUUCUCAGAAGGCUGAGGUGGGAGGAUCACUUGAACCCAGGAGGAGGAGGUUUCAGUCAGUAGAGAUUGAACUACUAUACUCUAGCCUGGAUGAC
ensembl:lncRNA novel transcript